rnacentral:rRNA from 1 species
UACGUAGGGCGCGAGCGUUGUCCGGAAUCAUUGGGCGUAAAGAGCUCGUAGGCGGCCGGUUGCGUCUGCUGUUAAAUCCCGGGGCUUAACCCCGGGCGUGCAGUGGAUACGGGCUGGCUCGAGGCAGGCAGGGGAGAAUGGAAUUCCCGGUGUAGCGGUGAAAUGCGCAGAUAUCGGGAGGAACACCGGUGGCGAAGGCGAUUCUCUGGGACUGUGCUGACGCUGAGGAGCGAAAGCGUGGGGAGCGAACAGG